rnacentral:rRNA from 1 species
UGCUCAGGACGAACGCUGGCGGCGUGCCUAAUACAUGCAAGUCGAGCGAGCUGAAUUCAAAGAUCCCUUCGGGGUGAUUUGUUGGACGCUAGCGGCGGAUGGGUGAGUAACACGUGGGCAAUCUGCCCUAAAGACUGGGAUACCACUUGGAAACAGGUGCUAAUACCGGAUAACAACAUGAAUCGCAUGAUUCAAGUUUGAAAGGCGGCGCAAGCUGUCACUUUAGGAUGAGCCCGCGGCGCAUUAGCUAGUUGGUGGGGUAAAGGCCUACCAAGGCAAUGAUGCGUAGCCGAGUUGAGAGACUGAUCGGCCACAUUGGGACUGAGACACGGCCCAAACUCCUACGGGAGGCAGCAGUAGGGAAUCUUCCACAAUGGACGCAAGUCUGAUGGAGCAACGCCGCGUGAGUGAAGAAGGUCUUCGGAUCGUAAAGCUCUGUUGUUGGUGAAGAAGGAUAGAGGCAGUAACUGGUCUUUAUUUGACGGUAAUCAACCAGAAAGUCACGGCUAACUACGUGCCAGCAGCCGCGGUAAUACGUAGGUGGCAAGCGUUGUCCGGAUUUAUUGGGCGUAAAGCGAGCGCAGGCGGAAUGAUAAGUCUGAUGUGAAAGCCCACGGCUCAACCGUGGAACUGCAUCGGAAACUGUCAUUCUUGAGUGCAGAAGAGGAGAGUGGAACUCCAUGUGUAGCGGUGGAAUGCGUAGAUAUAUGGAAGAACACCAGUGGCGAAGGCGGCUCUCUGGUCUGCAACUGACGC